GCGCACUUAACUGCUACACCACCAGGCCGGCCCCCCUUCUCCCCCUUUUGCUCUAUAAAACCAAGCUCCCCUCUUUUGUUCUCCAGAUUUGCCUAUGGUUCACCAUAGUAUGCACAUCCCAAAUUGCAAUUCUUUUGGUUAUUCCUGAAUAAGCUCGUUGGAGAGUAAAAUAACAGGUGAGUUUGCUUUUUAAGUUGACAACUCUGUGUUUGGUUUUGGAGGUAGAGCUAUCCAGGUGUCACUACAGAAAUGGACGAUUAAACUGGAGUUGAGAUGGAGAAAUUAGAAUAGGAUAUGUCAAGGAGCUGUGAAGUUUGGAUGCAUUAGGUCAUCAGGGGGGAUAAUGAAGGCUUUCAAGAUGAAAAGGGGAAAGGAAAACAGUUGGUACCAAAGUCUUCAGUGAAUGUAGGAGAGAGACCUGGAAGUCGACAUUCAACAUUUGAGAGGGUGAUAAAAGUGAGUAGUGUGAACUUUGAAGAAAGAAGGGCCGUUGAGGGAAGAUGGUAAAAUAAUACUUUAAGGAUCCAAUGAAGAAGAUAUGAGAAGAUGGUGACCUGAUCUUGACUUAUGGAAAAGGGUGAGUAAAAGAAAGUGAGCAGCCUCCAACUAAGAGUUUUGCAAGGGAAACAGAAUUUGGGACACCCAGAGUUAAAGAGAGGAGAUAGAGGCUGAAUGGAUGAGCAAGGCCAAAGGCAAGAAAGUUUUAGGAAAUGGUGGAUAGUCCUUUCUUUUUUUUUUGUAAGCAAAGGGUGCAAUUAGGGGUGUAAUAGAAGAUAAUAUUGGAAUCUAUGUGAUUAGUUUGAAUCUAGAAUAUAACAGAAUCAUUAUAGUUAAAAUAUUAAUUAGGUGGUGUACUAAGGAAACCUUUUGAAGUUAUUUUGUUUAGAUCUUAGGGAAAUUUUGGAACUGGUAUUGGUAACUGGGAAGCAGUUUGACAGCUUUGGAAUACUUGGACUAUGACAAAUGUAAAAUUGGUGUAUAUUUGAUGUUAUUAAUGCCAUCAUUGGAACUGAAGUUGACAAUAGAUCAUAAUUUUGGUAGGAAUGUGGCCAGUAGACUGUGAUAAAUUUUGGUCUUUUUGUAAUUAGAAAAUUGGAGCUUUAAAAAUGUGUUGACUUUUUGGAAUAAUCUUUUUCUAUUCUUUUCCAGAACCAUCUGCAACCCACAAUAUAUAAAAGACUGUGUAAGAUCUACUUUAGUGUGAGGGUUUUGAUCUCAAAUGCCCUGACUCUGUUUGAUAUGAUUGUACCUCUGUAUAAGUAGGAUAUGUAGCUAGAAGCAUAGGAGAAGAGAAAAUGUGAAACAAAAAUGAGACUGAAUUGGAGACGUAGAGCUCCAGUUAUGAAAACCUUAAGAAGAUUAACUGCUGUGAUAGUAAUCUGGUAGAUUUUCAGUUCUGGCUAUCAUUUAUUAUGAACUGAAAGAACAGUGAAAUAAUUAGAUACUGAGGUGCGUAAUUGCUGGCAAUAGGGUGGAGGAGGAGAGUUGGUUAAUUGGCAAUGAGCCUUAUAGCUGUUUUUAUAUUAAUGCUGUCUAUUUGGUAUUGGUGGAUAACAGCAGAAAAAUUAUUUAUGGUCAUGCUGGGGACUUACUACAUUGAUUUCUACUCUAAUAACAUGAAAGAGUUUAAUGGUUACUCUUAUAGAUGUAAUAUUUCUUUUUUUUGUCAUUCUAGCAGCCAUCAGAAAAGAGACCACAAAAAAGCUAUUGCCUGUACAGUCCUGUUCAUCAUUUGUGACCUGAGAUAUUGAGCUCUUGGGUUGUCAGAAUUCCAGUUCAUGAGGCAGUCUGUGUCAUUCUGGUCUAGCCAGAGAGGUGAACGGAGUGGUAUGGGAGCAGAGAGGAUGGAGCAGUCGCUUGUGUGUGAUACACAUUGUCUGGAGCACGGUGGUUAAAGGUUCAGGCUUUGAAGGUGACCAGGGUGAUGUCUAAAAGAAGGCAGGAAGCUGUAGUAACACGCAAAGCAGACUUGCCUUUAGGGAAUGUUCUCCUUGGCUCUAGAUUCCAGACUUCAAUCUUUUCAUUCAACUUACAUUUUAUGAGUGCUUAUGCCAGGAAGGUUGCCCCUGAGCUGACAUCUGUGCCCAUCUUCUUCUAUUUUAUGUGGGAUGCUGCCACAGGGAUGGCUUGAUGACCAGUGCUAGGUCCCAGUGCACCUGGGAUCCGAACCUGUGAACCCGGGGCCACUGAAGCAGAGCGUGCAAAGUUAAUCACUACACCGCCGGGCUGGCCUCAAUCUCUGUCUUUUAAUUUGGUGUAUUUGGACCAUUUUCAUUUGAGGACCAUCCAGAAUACCACCUUACAUUUAGUCAUCAUGUCUCCUUGGGCUCCUCUUGGCUAUGACAGUUUCUCAGACUUUUAUUGCUUUUGAUCAGCUUGAUAACUUUGAAGAGCACUGGUCAGCUAUUUUGUAGAAAAUCCCUCUAUUGGAAUUUGUCCGAUUCAUGAUUAAACUGGGGUUAUGGGUUUUGGGGAGGAAGACCACAGAAGUGAAAAUACCAUUUUCAUCACAUCAUAUCAAGAGUACAUACUAGCAAAGAUGUUACUUUUGAUGUUCACCUUGAACACCUGGCUGAUGUGUUUGUUAGAUUUCUCCACAGUCAAGUUACUCUUUGAUCUCCUUUUCCAUCUCGUACUCUUGGAAGUCACUGUAUGCACCCAAACUUAAAGAAUAAAGUUACGCUCCCCCUCCUUGAGAGCAAAGUAUCUACAUGAAUUAUUUAGAAUUUUGCAUAGCAGAUUUGUCUCUUUUCCCCAUGAAUGUAUUUAUCUAUCAGUCCAAUCAAUCAAUCAUUUGUUUAUAUCAGUAUAGACUCAUGGAUAUUUAUUUUGUACCUUGGGUUAUAACCCGAUACCACUUUACUGUAUUGCUCAAAUUGUUCUAGCUUUGGCCACUGGGAGCUCUUUUAGUUGGCUUCUGUGUCCCUUUGUCAUUCCACUAUCA